GUGAGUUGAAAAUAUCAUGAGUCAAAAAUGCACUUUCGACUCACGAUAUUUUCAACUCAUGAU
rnacentral:miRNA from 1 species